rnacentral:rRNA from 1 species
CAGUCGCCGCGGUAAUACGUAGGGUGCAAGCGUUAAUCGGAAUUACUGGGCGUAAAGCGUGCGCAGGCGGUCCGCUAAGACAGAUGUGAAAUCCCCGGGCUUAACCUGGGGACUGCAUUUGUGACUGGCGGGCUAGAGUAUGGCAGAGGGGGGUAGAAUUCCACGUGUAGCAGUGAAAUGCGUAGAGAUGUGGAGGAAUACCGAUGGCGAAGGCAGCCCCCUGGGCCAAUACUGACGCUCAUGCACGAAAGCGUGGGGAGCAAACAGGAUUAGAUACCCCCGUAGUCCCUGUCUUUAUACA